CACACCCUUCUCCACACAGAUGCAGAAUGGGAACGCACCCCUGAAAAGGCUCACCUGCAAGCUGUCUGCGUGGCAUCUUGGUCCAUGGUUUCCAAGAUGUGUGAUAUGACUAGCACCCUGGGCUCCGCCUUGACUUUCCUGCAGUGACGGACCGUGGCCUGAAAUUGAGAGAAGAGCCUAUCGGGAGAGAUGAGCAACACAAGAGGUAAUCCUGGGACGGCCAUUGCAUUUGCGUCAGCGGGGAGGGGAAAAAAUGGCUGGAGAAAGGUGACCCAGGGAAUAAGAGAGGCCGGAGUUACAAGAAGUCCUCAGUCCCUUCUUGUCCUCCCCACAAAUGCUUCCCCCUAUUGAGAAGUCUCACAGACGGGCAGUCCCCCAUCUGCCUGUCUCCCCUUCUUUCUCGGAAGAGAUGAGACUCUCUCACCAGGGAGGGAAUGGCAAGGGUUGGCCCAGGCUUGGAUCGGGAGCAGAUCUGUCAGAACUAACAUGACAAGGUGAUGAAAUGUUGAUUUAAAGUCAACAUUCUAAUUGAAUGACAGUAUUUAAACUAAUUUGGAGGUCCAAAGCUUGGCUAACUUUCUCUGAGCGUUCAUUUACCACAGCUGCGGUCUGGGCAUUUUGGGAAACGGCAAACUCUGCUGCAGCGGCUGCGGUGGCAGAAAUGGUAACGGUGGCCACAAUUGCAGCGGAAAUUCCAAAAUCCCCUUUUUGUCGAUACAAAGUCAUUGUGGUCCUUGCAUCGUCUAGAAAAGACUAUGGAACCACCGCAGCAAUGCGUACCAUCAUGGUGUUAUCUUCAUGCACCCAGCAGUUCGUCAGGGAGCAGUUUCUGGAAGAACAAUUAAGAGUCCCCCCCCCCCACCCAUUCCAAACAACAAA